UACGGAGGGUGCAAGCGUUGUCCGGAUUUAUUGGGUUUAAAGGGUGCGUAGGCGGUGCGUUAAGUCAGUGGUGAAAUCCCGCAGCUCAACUGUGGAACUGCCAUUGAUACUGGCGCACUUGAGUACGGACGAGGUAGGCGGAAUUUAUGGUGUAGCGGUGAAAUGCAUAGAUACCAUAAAGAACACCGAUAGCGAAGGCAGCUUACUAGACCGUAACUGACGCUCAGGCACGAAAGCGUGGGGAGCGAACAGG
rnacentral:rRNA from 1 species